UCAGGUGACGAUAUGCAAAGCAAAAACCCAAGAUGAUGAUAGUAAACUUGUUAUUUUCAAUAGUUCCGGAUUUUCUGCGAGGAAGCUGCCAUUGCCCAUCCCCUUCCUCUAGCACUUUCUCAAGGCUUAAACUCAACAUCAACACUAAGGCUCCAUUUCACAGUUGCUGUAUUUUGUGUCCGCUAACAGGGCAUCUGAAUUAUUAUCUAUGUGAGCGUAUUUUGUUUUCGUAAUGACUUUGUGGUCUCUCUAUCGUACAACAUAUGCGAAGUCAACAAACACAACUAGGACAAGCUUGAAGUGGACCAGCAACAGAAAUUUUAUGAUGUUCGAACACCGAUAACAACCUACAAAAAAAUUACUCACUCAAUCACACUAUAAUGCUUAUUUUUGCGCUAUCCCUGCUCUUCAUUGCAUGCCCCGUCCAGCGGACUCAUUUUGUGCGCUGGCUCCAUUUCUCCGCGACGCACACGCAUAAAUUUCAAGCUUUGAAAAUGAGAAACAGAAGCUUUUUGGCAAAUGAAAUUCAAGUGCUGCAGGACGAGGGACUGACGCUGGCAAAACACUUGGGUCAGCGCUUACUUUGUUUUGACGAAGCACACGAGCUUUCCUAUCUUCGUGGUCAUUUCCAUUUAAACACGAAAAAUUGCUAUUAAUAAUGAACUGAACCAGAGGAUAUGUGUGCUAACCUUUUUAAUGCCAAUGAGCUUUAAAUAUGUAAUAUAAAUAUACGACUAUCAGUGAUUUUCCUUUAUUAAAUUCUUUUAAUGUACUUCA